rnacentral:rRNA from 1 species
GCCGCGUGUGUGAAGAAGGCCUUCGGGUUGUAAAGCACUUUCAGUCAGGAGGAAAGGUUAGUAGUUAAUACCUGCUAGCUGUGACGUUACUGACAGAAGAAGCACCGGCUAACUCCGUGCCAGCAGCCGCGGUAAUACGGAGGGUGCGAGCGUUAAUCGGAAUUACUGGGCGUAAAGCGUACGCAGGCGGUUUGUUAAGCGAGAUGUGAAAGCCCCGGGCUCAACCUGGGAACUGCAUUUCGAACUGGCAAACUAGAGUGUGAUAGAGGGUGGUAGAAUUUCAGGUGUAGCGGUGAAAUGCGUAGAGAUCUGAAGGAAUACCGAUGGCGAAGGCAGCCACCUGGGUCAACACUGACGCUCAUGUACGAAAGCGUGGGGAGCAAACAGGAUUAGAUACCCUGGUAGUCCACGCCGUAAACGAUGUCUACUAGAAGCUCGGAACCUCGGUUCUGUUUUUCAAAGCUAACGCAUUAAGUAGACCGCCUGGGGAGUACGGCCGCAAGGUUAAAACUCAAAUGAAUUGACGGGGGCCCGCACAAGCGGUGGAGCAUGUGGUUUAAUUCGAUGCAACGCGAAGAACCUUACCUACACUUGACAUACAGAGAACUUACUAGAGAUGGUUUGGUGCCUUCGGGAACUCUGAUACAGGUGCUGCAUGGCUGUCGUCAGCUCGUGUUGUGAGAUGUUGGGUUAAGUCCCGCAACGAGCGCAACCC